rnacentral:rRNA from 1 species
CCAGACUCCUACGGGAGGCAGCAGUGGGGGAUAUUGCACAAUGGGGGGAACCCUGAUGCAGCGACGCCGCGUGGGUGAAGGAGUAUUUCGGUAUGUAAAGCCCUAUCGGCAGGGAAGAAGCAAGACGGUACCUGACUAAGAAGCCCCGGCUAACUACGUGCCAGCAGCCGCGGUAAUACGUAGGGGGCGAGCGUUAUCCGGAUUCACUGGGUGUAAAGGGAGCGCAGGCGGCGCGCCAAGUCUGAUGUGAAACCCCGGGGCUCAACCCCGGGCAUGCAUUGGAAACUGGCGGGCUGGAGUGCCGGAGAGGUAAGCGGAAUUCCUAGUGUAGCGGUGAAAUGCGUAGAUAUUAGGAGGAACACCAGUGGCGAAGGCGGCUUACUGGACGGCAACUGACGCUGAGGCUCGAAAGCGUGGGGAGCAAACAGGAUUAGAUACCCCGGUAC